CUCGGUGCUUUUUCCGGUGAGGUCACACCCGUUCCCAUUCCGAACACGGAAGUUAAGCUCACCAGGGCCGAUGGUAGUUUUCCAGGUAAUUGGAAGACAAGAGUAGGUCGGUGCCGGGC
rnacentral:rRNA from 1 species